rnacentral:ncRNA from 2 species
GGUUUGGAUUAUGGGAACUAGGUGCAAAUCCUAGGCUCUGCCGGAACGGUACAGCCCGACACCACCCAAACC